AUUGAACGCUGGCGGCAGGCCUAACACAUGCAAGUCGAACGAGUGGCGGACGGGUGAGUAAUGUAUGGGAACCUGCCUGAUGGAGGGGGAUAACUACUGGAAACGGUCGCUAAUACCGCAUACCAUCGGAUGUGCCCAGAUGGGAUUAGCUAGUAGGUGGGGUAAAGGCUAACCUAGGCGACGAUCCCUAGCUGGUCUGAGAGGAGGACCAGCCAAAAGGGAACUGAGACACGGUCCAGCCUCCGACGGGAGGCAGCAGUGGGGAAUAUUGGACAAUGGGCGAAACCCUGAUGCAGCCAUGCCGCGUGUAUGAAGAAGGCCUUCGGGUUGUAAAGUACUUUCAGCGGGGAGGCGGUACCUGCAGAAGAAGCACCGGCUAACGACGUGCCAGCAGCCGCGGUAAUUC
rnacentral:rRNA from 1 species